rnacentral:lncRNA from 1 species
CAGGCUGCAAAUCAAUAUAGAAGGUGUUUGGAAUGGCUUUUAAGCUGGUCAAAUCAGCUUUGAAGCUCUUUUUAGCUUUUUUCAGUGUUUGGUAAAGUCAAAAAGUGUUUAAAAUAACUAAAAAGAAAUGCUUAAAACAAGCCAAAAGCAACAAGCUGGGCAUCACUAACUUAUUGCUUUUUAGCUGAAAAGCUAUUUUUGCUGAAAAGCUACUUUUUUUAAGUCAGUCCAAGGGGCUCAUAGUAGAAGGGGUAAUAGUGGGAUUCAAUCUAAGUUAAUUAUCUAGUGUUCCAAACCUGCUACUAGAGCAAAUUCUGUAUUUGAGACAAAGUUUUAGGGCAAACUUUAGUAACUCCACAAAAACGAAUGGAAGUUUUCUUUUGGAAAUUAAGUCAUAAAGUUUCAACAGGAGGUCUUCUGCUUGUACUAAAAUAUCACUUCAAAUAUCAAGAGAUUAAACAGAUAUUUUUAGAACACUAAUUUUCCUACUGAAUUUCAUAAGAUGUUGUUUCAAUUCAUAUCCCUUUGGAAAGAGACCUCUCCUUCCCAAUUGCAUUUUCUAGAUCAAAAAUACUAUAAACACUGCCAUUCUCUCUCUUCCUCUAAUUUAUUGGAUAGUAGCUGAACUUUACAUCGUAUAUAUACUUAUUUGUAAUUCUUGGUUAUCAAUACAACACUAAUAGAUUUCUUUUCCUUUUAUCCUUCCGCCUCUUCUCGAUUUCACUUGCCGAUCACAAUCAUGAAUUUGCCACCAUGAUGCACACGAGUCCAUGUUCUCUCAGGUAAUAUCUCUUAGUGUUGUCAAAGGCGCGCUUUAAGUCCUGAAGCGAGGCUCAAAACACGUUGAGCGUUGGGCGCUUUAGUGUCACAUCAAAGCUCUAAGGCAUAUUUUUCCUUGCUAAUGAGUGUAAUCCUGAAAUGGCGACCUUAAACAAUUGAUAUUUCACUUUAUCGUGAAUUUCUUUUCAAUUUCUUUGUCCAUUUAAUCAAUUCAUGCUUAUAAUGAUUAUUAGUCUAGGACUACAUGCAUAUUUUUUCUUUUUCUCUCGUUGCGCCUUUUUUCAUUAAAGCUCACGCUUCAUUUGCGCUUUGCGCUUAAAGCCCCAAUGGACCUUAGAGCUUUUUUGUGCUUUUUGCCUUUCAUAACACUUCCAAGAGGGGUUGCUCUGAUGGUAAGCAACCCCCACUUCCAACCAAGAGGUUGUGAGUUCGNNNNNNNNNNNNNNNNNNNNNNNNNNNNNNNNNNNNNNNNNNNNNNCUAUGAUGGUAAGCAACCCCCACUUCCAACCGAGAGGUUGUGAGUUUGAGUCCCCCCAAGAGCAAGGUGGGAAGUUCUUGG